rnacentral:tRNA from 1 species
GGGCUGGUUGAGUAUGGCGGCUCACUGGUUUUCUCCAGAAACGCAGGUUCAAAUCCUGCCCAGUCCA